rnacentral:rRNA from 1 species
CUACGGGUUGCAGCAGUGGGGAAUAUUGGACAAUGGGGGAAACCCUGAUCCAGCAAUGCCGCGUGUGUGAAGAAGGCCUGCGGGUUGUAAAGCACUUUCGGUUGGGAGGACUGCUUCUAGCACUAAUAUUGUUGGAAGUUGACGUUACCUUCAGAAGAAGCACCGGCUAACUCCGUGCCAGCAGCCGCGGUAAUACGGAGGGUGCAAGCGUUAUUCGGAAUUACUGGGCGUAAAGCGCGCGUAGGCGGCUAGAUCAGUCGGGUGUGAAAGCCCCGGGCUUAACCUGGGAACUGCAUCCGAUACUGUCUAGCUUGAGUACAGGAGAGGAGAGUGGAAUUCCACAUGUAGCGGUGAAAUGCGUAGAUAUGUGGAGGAACACCAAUGGCGAAGGCAGCUCUCUGGCCUGAUACUGACGCUAAGGCGUGAAAGCGUGGGGAGCAAACAGGAUUAGAUACCCGGGUAGUC